UAAAAGUUUUUUUGCUUUGGGGUUUCAGAAAAAUUUGAAUUAAAUGUAAGUUUUAGCGAUAAAAAAUGGGUAUUUAAAUAAUAUAGUAAUUUUGACAGGGCAGUCAUUAAUAUUAAAUAUUCGGGGGGCCGAGAUACAGCAGGGGUUUUUAGUACAAACAAAAUUUGUGCCAGCAGUUGCGGUUAUACAAAUUGUGCAAUGAAAGUUUGUCAGGUAUAGUUAAUAUAGUUUAGUACCAUAGAUUAAAGAAGAUUUUAUUGGGUGAAAUCUUAUAUUUUUAAUAGUCUAUAUAUUGUUUAUGAAGCUAGUAAAUUUUACAAAAGACUAGGAUUAGAUACCCUAUUAUAAAAAUUAGUUUAUUAAACCUGAAUUAUUAGUAGUUAAGUUCUUGAAAAUUAAUAAAGAUGGCGGUGUUUUAGUCUGUUCAGAGGAAUCUGCCCUGUAAUUGAUAUUCCACGAUUUGAUUUACUUAGAUUUUUAGCUUGCAUAUCGCUGUAAUUGAAUAUUUCUAUUGAAUUAAAAUAUUCAGGAUUUUUAUUAAAAAAAAUGUCAAGUCAAGAUGUAGCUUAUAUCUAAGAAGAGGUGGAUUACAAUAGUUUUAUUUGUGGUUAGUUUAUUUAAAUAUUUUCUAUAAAAUGGAUUUGAAGGUAAUUUUUUACAAAAAUUUGAAAAAUGAUUUUAGCUCUAAAAUAUGUACAUAUCGCCCGUCGCUUUCAUUACAAAGUGGAAUAAGUCGUAACAUAGUAGAUGUACUGGAAAGUGUCUCUAGAAGACA
rnacentral:ncRNA from 1 species